rnacentral:rRNA from 1 species
ACUCCCAGUUGCCAUCAGGUAAAGCUGGGAACUCUGGGGAGACUGCCGGUGAUAAACCGGAGGAAGGCGGGGAUGACGUCAAGUCCUCAUGGCCCUUACAUCCCGGGCUACACACGUGCUACAAUGGCAGGUACAGAGGGCUGCAAAGCCGCGAGGUAGAGCGAAUCCCAGAAAACCUGUCUCAGUCCGGAUUGAAGUCUGCAACUCGACUUCAUGAAGGCGGAAUCGCUAGUAACCGCGAAUCAGCAGGUCGCGGUGAAUACGUUCCCGGGCCUU